rnacentral:rRNA from 1 species
CCCUUAGAUGUUCUGGGCCGCACGCGCGCUACACUGAUGCAUUCAACGAGUUUCUUCCUGGUCCGAGAGGAAUGGGUAACCUUUUGAAAGUGCAUCGUGAUAGGGAUAGACUAUUGCAAUUAUUGGUCUUCAACGAGGAAUUCCUAGUAGACGUAGUUCAUCAGACUGCAUCGAUUACGUCCCUGCCCUUUGUACACACCGCCCGUCGCUCCUACCGAUUGAAUGCUCAGGUGAGUUAUUCGGACCUCCUUCAUGUUGGUUUCCAAUUUUGAAGAGGGAAAGUCUCGCGAACCUUAUCAUUUAGAGGAAGGAGAAGUCGUAACA